rnacentral:rRNA from 1 species
GUGUCAGCCGCCGCGGUAAUACGUAGGUGGCAAGCGUUGUCCGGAUUUAUUGGGUUUAAAGGGUGCGUAGGCGGCUUUGUAAGUCAGUGGUGAAAUACGGUAGCUCAACUAUCGAGGUGCCAUUGAUACUGCGGAGCUUGAGUACAGAUGAGGUAGGCGGAAUUGACGGUGUAGCGGUGAAAUGCUUAGAUAUCGUCAAGAACACCUAUAGCGAAGGCAGCUUACUAGGCUGUAACUGACGCUGAGGCACGAAAGUGUGGGGAUCAAACAGGAUUAGAAACCCUCGUAGUCC